rnacentral:rRNA from 1 species
UGGGGAAUAUUGCACAAUGGGCGCAAGCCUGAUGCAGCCAUGCCGCGUGUAUGAAGAAGGCCUUCGGGUUGUAAAGUACUUUCAGUCGGGAGGAAGGUGUCAAGGUUAAUAACCUUGGCAAUUGACGUUACCGACAGAAGAAGCACCGGCUAACUCCGUGCCAGCAGCCGCGGUAAUACGGAGGGUGCAAGCGUUAAUCGGAAUUACUGGGCGUAAAGCGCACGCAGGCGGUUGAUUGAGUCAGAUGUGAAAUCCCCGGGCUUAACCCGGGAAUUGCAUCUGAUACUGGUCAGCUAGAGUCUUGUAGAGGGGGGUAGAAUUCCAUGUGUAGCGGUGAAAUGCGUAGAGGUGUGGAGGAAUACCGGUGGCGAAGGCGGCCCCCUGGACAAAGACUGACGCUCAGGUGCGAAAGCGUGGGGAGCAAACAGG